rnacentral:tRNA from 1 species
GGCUCCGUAGCAUAAUUGAAUAGUGCAUCNNAUCUGACUACGGAUCAGAAGGUUCCAGGUUUGAGUCCUGGCGGAGUCACAA